GGUUCAGGAAGUAACUGGAAGUUGGAGGUACUGGAGUAAACCACUGUGUAUGGUUUUUCUCUGCAGGGUAAACUUACUACCCUGCAUGAGGGAGAGGACUUUGGGCAGCUGGCCCUGAUUAAUAAAACGCCAAGACACCUCAGUCGUCAUGCGAAAGCAUGACUGUCACUUCCUCCAAGUAGGAAAACUGGACUUUGUGAGCAUCCUUAAGGUUAGAUUCCCAAGAGGAAAGGGUUCUGAAUUAUAGUAUUGAAAGCAGCAUGGGGCUGGAAUUAUACAUACAUGUGUUUGGUGCCUUUACUUGUACAUUUGUUUGGGUUGAGUUGUGGAUGUUUGUGCAUGUCUUGACACACUGGGUGUAUUGAAGGAUGUGAAUGCAAACAUGGUGCAUGUGGAAAGGAAUGGCAAACCUACUGAUUGCAGUCCCACCCUGUAUACACACAUGAUCAGACAUGAGUUGAACUGCACAAUGGGAUCAAGUCUGCUGCCCUCAUCACAAGAUAAAGUUAAUGAAUGAAAUGGACUGAGAUAACCAUCUUAAACCUUCUUCUUUGUAGUCUUGCUAAGGGUUUUCCCACAUGACCACAGCUUUGUUUCUGUGAGGAUGCCCCUUAACGCCUCUGUUGAGGAAGUGAUGGCGGCCAUGGAAAUUCCAGCAGGAGACCACAUCCUGGUGAAAGUGAAGUCCUCUGGAGGUAUGAAGUAUGGCCUAAACUUUAGUGGGAAGAGUUGGGCUGCCACGCCAUCCCAUCUGAUGUAGUAAUUAGACACCUUUUGUAAAAGGUUCUUACAGACCUUCAUUUACCAUAUUUAUGCGUAAAAUUGACAAUUGUCAUGGUGGCGGUAAAACUUCAGAUUCAUUCAACACCCUGAACCUCAGUGGAUGGGAAAUAUUAGGUCCUAGUAUUUACACCAGAAGUGUUGAACAGACCUAUCUCUUGUAAUGCUUUGUUAGUCACUGAGUCUUUAAAUGUCUGUGCUCUGCCUCAUCCCAGUGAGGGAGCUGCUCAAGAUGGACGCUAGGGCCACCUCCUCUUUUCUGGGCCUGAAUGAAAGAGUUUUUCUCUGCUCUGGCAACCAGGCUGACAAGCUGAUGAGUGCACUCUGAAACUGAACUGAUUUCUAUAGCCACACUAUCCAAAAUCACACAGUGAGGUCUGAACUCUGAGGUCAGAGCUUGGAUGUGCUCAUGAUUUUCAUGCCAGUGAGAAUUCACAGUGAUGGCACAAGCCUUUCAGAGCUUAUUUCUUUGUGCCUGGAGAUUGAGCGUAAAUGCCUGCUACCACAUACUUCUGAUAAGACCUAGCAUACUGUGGAAGCUGCAACUGAAUACAUUGCCUCCAUUCACUUUUCAACCUUUGUUGAGAACCACAUGAACUAACAAUGUGUUUUCUAAGAUAGUUCUCUGAAGACAAUAGUCCGGACAUGUGUGUGGUCCUCACAGACGCCACUGCAGGAAAAGCUUGGCCCAGACAUGAACACCAUUUACGCACUAGAGAACAUGAGCUCCAAGGUCAUUGCAGCUCAGAUCAACAGCUAUGACUGGGAACUGUAGGAGAACUAUAGAGGCUUGGGGAGGGGAGGGAUAAAGAGUUCAGUGUGAGAAGAACUAAAUUAGGUAAUUUUUUUGUCUUCGUGUUACUGUUGCCGUCUACUUUGCUAGCAAAAACAAAUGGCAAAAUUGAACAUGAUGCCAAACAGUAAAUAUAGAUUGGUAAACUUCUGACUCAUCCUCAUUUUUAUAUCUGUUCUGUUCUUCAGAAAAUAUUUUCGACUGUAUCCUCUGAGUAGUGCUCUUUUAGGGCCAUUGAGGGACCAGUCCAAGAACUGUACAUUUCCUAAACGCUACAUCAUCUCACUUUUACACGAUUCCUUGCCAAAAAUAACUGACUGAUGGCUUUUAGUUACCAAAUCGGAAUUCAAUGAAGUGCCAUUCAGGCACGAUCACACCUUAUGACAUGGUUGUAGUUCAUUUUUCUAACUUGUAGUUUCUUCUCACCUCUCCCUUAUACGUACCCCAUUCAUCCAACCAGAAGGAGUUGUUCUAUUAUGUUUUGAGAAAAAAAGAAAUCCCCCAACAGCCCAACUGCCAACUUGGAGCGCUUCAUUCAACGCUUUAAUGAAGUGGCCUACUGGGAGGCAACAGAGCUCUGCCUGUGUGCAGAUCUGGCCAAACGGGCUCAUCUGCUGAGGAAAUGAAUCACAAUCGCCACGAUGUGAGUGUGACACAUCACAACACAUACAUCAUCAUGCCCCAUCCAGAUUAAUGUCAUCGGCUACAUAGCUAGCAAACCCAUGGUUGUCAAGUGCAGCAGUGGAGAAUGAACAACAUUUUAAGAUUGAUACUAGCUGUACUAACUUUAUGAGAUGUUUUAAAAUGUAUUUUUGUAGUUGCCUUAGAUUGGAGUAGAUGAGUGACUUUGGUUUCUCCUCAUCCCAGAUAAGCAACACAACAUGAGCUCAUUCACUGCUGACAAACAGUGCUCUGUCAAGACUGCAUACAAUCUGGAAGUUGUGAUUUACAGAAAGUGCCAAACAUGAUGAUAAAGAGAUUCAGAAGGUAUGAGAACAUGCUGUAACCAUGAGGCUAUGAGACAGGUGGUUGGCAAACUGAACCCACCUUACAUUCUCUAUCUCCCUCUCAUUUUAAAAGACCUGACUUUCAUCCACGAAGGCAAUAAGAGUUACCGAAAUGGCCUGGUAUACUUUGAAAAAAUGUGCCAAUUUCCCCCCAGAAUAACCUCAUGAACAAAAUGUUUCUGAAGAGUCCUCUCAGACAGAAACUCACAUUUUCUGACCAGUCACUGUCAGUGGAGAGAGCUAAAACCAUACGGCACUAUGUCAGGAACCUCAAAGUCAUUGAUGACCAACGCAAGCUCCGUCAGUUGUCCCGGAACAUUGAGCCUUGAUGUACCACAGGGGGUUCCCUCAGACAGAAAAGAACCACCACAGUGAUGUCUCAUUAUACCACCCAGAGGAUAAGCACUGAACUCCUUGAUUUUCUUAAUAAAGUUAUAUUUUGCAUCAUCAUAAAUGCAUUUUGACAUCCAUUCAAACACCUGGACAUGCUGGUGUCAUUUGUGUUAGCUAGAAAAGAUGUCUGUAAUCUACAGCAGGGUUUCUCACUACUGGUCUGCAGCUGGCGAAAAUGUUUCAAGUUGAAGCAAAUUUUCCACGAAGAACUGACUUUUUAGUUGAGAACAAUAUUAAUACAAUUUAUGAUUGACAUUCGAUGUUUUAAACACAAUAUAAAAUGUAUAAAUAGGCAUAACAGACAGGUCGUGAAAAUAAUAUCCUAUCUUGGAGGAUAUGGAGGAGUUUCUCAGGCGAAUGACAGCACUGGUAAUGUCAUACUACAAAACACUACUCAAAUUCAGCAUAAAUACAACCCUGAUUAUAUUAGAUUUGGUUUUGUGAGUGGAGGUGACGACGUUGAGCCCAGAGCGCAGUGUGUCGAGUGCGCUUUAUGAGCCGCUCAAACCUUCAAAGCUGAAGCGACAUUUGGAGACGCGACAUCCAGCACUCGCAGAAAAGCGAGUGGAAUAUUUCAAAAGAAGAGAAAACCGACUUCAAAUAGUGUUUGCUACACAAUCGAAGAGUGCUUUGAAGGCAAGUUAUUUGUUAGCUAGACAAAUGGCACAGAUCAUGAUGGCCUUUACGAUUGCGGAGGAACUGAUGCUGCCAGCUGCAUGUGCUGCAAGAUGAUUGGCGAAGCUGCUGCGAAAGAAACUCUUGACAGUAGGCUACCACUUUCAAACGACACAAUAAGUCGGGAGAUGGCCUCGGAAAUACAGAACCAGGUCCUGG